rnacentral:rRNA from 1 species
UCCGUAGGCGGGCAGCUCAGUCAGUGGUGAAAGUUUGCAGCUCAACUGUAAAAUUGCCAUUGAUACUGGUUGUCUUGAAUUAAUGUGAAGUGGUUAGAAUAUGUAGUGUAGCCGUGAAAUGCAUAGAUAUUACAUGGAAUACCAAUUGCGAAGGCAGAUCACUAACAUUAUAUUGACGCUGAUGGACGAAAGCGUGGGGAGCGAACAGGAUUAGAUACCCUGGUAGUCC